GACGAAGGAUGCAAGCGUUAUCCGGAUUCAUUGGGGUUAAAGGGAGCGUAGGCGGACUUGUAAGUCAGUGGUGAAAUCUGUGGGCUUAACCCACAAACUGCCAUUGAUACUGCAGGUCUAGAGUACAGUUGCCGUUGGCGGAAUAUGACAUGUAGUGGUGAAAUACUUAGAUAUGUCAUAGAACACCGAUUGCGAAGGCAGCUAACGAAGCUGUAACUGACGCUGAGGCUCGAAAGUGCGGGGAUCAAACAGG
rnacentral:rRNA from 1 species